UGGGGAAUAUUGGACAAUGGGUGAGAGCCUGAUCCAGCCAUGCCGCGUGCAGGAAGAAGGCGUUAUGCGUUGUAAACUGCUUUUGCCAGGGGAUAAAAUGACCGUGCGCGGUUAAUUGAAGGUACCUGGUGAAUAAGCCACGGCUAACUACGUGCCAGCAGCCGCGGUAAUACGUAGGUGGCAAGCGUUGUCCGGAUUUAUUGGGUUUAAAGGGUGCGUAGGUGGCCCUGUAAGUCAGUGGUGAAAUAUCUCAGCUUAACUGAGAGGGUGCCAUUGAUACUGCAGGGCUUGAGUACAGAUGAGGUAGGCGGAAUUGACGGUGUAGCGGUGAAAUGCAUAGAUAUCGUCAAGAACACCGAUAGCGAAGGCAGCUUACCAAGCUGUAACUGACACUGAGGCACGAAAGUGUGGGGAUCAAACAGGAUUAGAUACCCCAGUAGUCCCUGAGCGGGCUGGCAAGGCGCAU
rnacentral:rRNA from 1 species